UGUUUACAACAUGGUAAGUCUUGUACACAAUAUGUUUGGCGUUGAAGUGGUUAGGUUGUGAAGAACUCCGCUGCUAAGCAACGGCAAUAUUGACGUUACUGUCGGCGUCUAGAAGCCACAGAGGCUAACAAUUUAGCAAGAUAGCAAGCGAGAA